rnacentral:misc_RNA from 1 species
CCCCCACUCUAUUCAUUUUUCUGUUUCUCUCUCCCAAAUCGCUACAUUGUAAACCAUAAAAUUAGGUAUUCGCCUCCACCGUCUCCAUGGCCUGCUCAGCCAAUGAGUUGGCCCAGCUACUCGGCCCCAACAUCACCAACUCCACUGCUGCUGCUGACUUCAUCUGUUCCCGCUUCACAACCUCCGAGAACAAUUUCACGGCCACCAAAUAUGCCGUUGACAAUACCUACCUCCUAUUC